rnacentral:ncRNA from 1 species
GCAAAACCGAUGAGCAAGAGGAGUACCUGGUCAGGUCACCUUUCAGAGAGCCGUGGAUGGUGGGAUCACGGCAGAGAACUUUCCAGCGAAUGGACUUGCGAGGGCAGCGCAAACGGCAAAAUGCUCAGUAGCGUCUGACGGGGCCCGCACCCGUUAUCCGGGCGGCGCGUAUGAAUGUACGUGGAACGAGCGGGCGCUUUGCGUCAACUUGGGUGGUACCGCAGGAUGGUUUCAAGUCUUGUCCCAAAU